GCUUGGCAUGUGAAAAUAUUGUUUUGGCUAAUUUCACUCUCAACAUUUCUAUCAAGCGAUUUAAAUCUUUAUUGUUCGACAAAAGUUUAUCUUGAGCAAUUUUCAAAGGCAUAUUUUCAUCGAAUUUAGUAUCUGCACAUUUAUUCUUCAUUGCGCGACGUAUCCUUUCAACAGAUUUAAUCCUGUCUUUUUAUAUCCAUCUAAUACUACUGUUUCAGAUGGCACAUUGUUUUCGCUAUGUUAAAAUCUUGGUCAUGGAAAGAGAACUUGAAAAAAUGGUAUGAAUUUUAAUAUGUAUUUGAAAGAUAACUGAAGGAAUGGCUUGGAAUGGUUGUACAUAAACAAAUUACUUUCAUUAUGUAACGCUGUAUUAAAAUUAUACCAUUUAUUAAACUAUACUUCAUUUA